ensembl:lncRNA
GAACCUUCACCCCAGUCUGAGGACCGGAGCACUCUGGAGCAGGUUUUCAUCAAGUACUUUUCUCCGUUCAUCUUUGCCUCGAUCCUGACUAGUCUUCCAGUUGCUGCUGCUGAAAAACAUCCGCACAGCAUGAUGCUGCCACCACCAUGCUUCACGGAAUACUCGCCAUCUCUGCAUGCAGCAGACAACCCUGGUGAAGUGGCCAAGAAGAUCCCCCAUUUCUUUGAGCUGCCACUGGACGACCAUCUUACCACGACCAGGGAUCUGACCGUGCUGGUGUCUCAGAUGAAUGACAAGCAAAUGGACAAGACAGAGCUGGGCUAACUCCGAGCCAUCAUCCUCUUCAACCCAGAGAGAGGAAGUAGUCAGCCCUCAAGCCCAUGCCAAAUGUGGGGCCAGACUCAGCAUCGGGGUCAAAUUCAGACCCACAAUAACUAUGACUUCAACUGCUGCUGCCACUGUUUUACAUUUUUCAGCGGCAGGGACUGGGAGACUAGUCGGGAUGGAGGGAAAGAUGAACAGGGCAGAGUACAGAGAGAUACUGAUGAAAGCCUGCUCCAGAACGCUCAGGACCUCAGACUGGGGUGUUUUACCUUCCAACAGGACAACAACCCUAAGCACACAGCCAAGACAACACAGGAAGGGCUUUGGGACAAGUCUCUGAAUGUCAUUGAGUGACCCUGCCAGAGUCCGGACUUGAACCCGAUCUAACAUCUCUGGAGAGACCUAAAAAUAGCUGUGCAGUGAUGUUCCCCAUCCAACCUGACAAAGCUUGAGGGGAUCUGCAGAGAAGAAUGGUAGAAACUCCCCAAAUACAGGUGUGCCAAGCUUGUAGCAUCAUAUCCCACAAAGACUCAAGGAUUUAAUCACUGCCAAAAGGUGCUACAACAAAGUACUGAGUAAAGGGUCUGAUUACUUAUGUAAAUGUGAUAUUUCAGUGUUUUAUUUUAAAUACAUUUCCCAACAUUUAUAAAAACCUGCUUUUGCUUGGUCAUUAUGGGGUAUCGUGUGUAGAUUGAGGGGAAAAACAAUUGAAUCAAUUUUACAAUAAGGCUGUAACGUAACAAAAUGUGGAAACAGUAAAGGGGUCUGAAUACUUUCCGAAUGCACUGUAUACAUUUUGAACAAGAUUAUCUAUUUUGGAUGCAAUUUCAAUGGAAUUGAUGGAGAGAGAGUGUUCACGUGCACACUGAUUUCAAGCAACACUAUUCAAGUGAUACUGUAUGUUGUUAAUUCCACAAGUGAAACAAAAGGUAACCCCAAAAGCCAGAUGGAGAUGUGUAAAUUAGAUGUGCAUUUAGUCCUUAUAUUACUGUAGCAUAUGCAGGUACUACAAUGGAAAUAAAUCCCUGACUUUAUUGUGCAAUCCCGGUGACUUUUACAAUUAUUUGUGUGUGUGUAUAUAUGUAUUUUUUUUUUACUGACAAAUAAAAAUCAAAUCAAUCCAAA